GUGUUUGCUUUGGCAGCACAUAUACUAAAAGUGGAACAACACUGAGAAGAUUAGCAUGGCCCCCACAAAAGGAUGACACAAAGAUUUGUGAAGUGUUCCAUAUUCUU
rnacentral:snRNA from 1 species